rnacentral:rRNA from 1 species
GACGAACGCUGGCGGCGUGCUUAACACAUGCAAGUCGAACGGAAAGGCCCUGCUUUUGUGGGGUGCUCGAGUGGCGAACGGGUGAGUAACACGUGAGUAACCUGCCCUUGACUUUGGGAUAACUUCAGGAAACUGGGGCUAAUACCGGAUAGGAGCUCCUGCUGCAUGGUGGGGGUUGGAAAGUUUCGGCGGUUGGGGAUGGACUCGCGGCUUAUCAGCUUGUUGGUGGGGUAGUGGCUUACCAAGGCUUUGACGGGUAGCCGGCCUGAGAGGGUGACCGGCCACAUUGGGACUGAGAGACGGCCCAGACUCCAACGGGAGGCAGCAGUGGGGAAUAUUGCACAAUGGGCGGAAGCCUGAUGCAGCAACGCCGCGUGCGGGAUGACGGCCUUCGGGUUGUAAACCGCUUUCGCCUGUGACGAAGCGUGAGUGACGGUAAUGGGUAAAGAAGCACCGGCUAACUACGUG